UGAGAAGUCCGAGAUCAAGAUGCCUGAGGA
rnacentral:piRNA from 1 species